UGUUUCCCUUUUACCUCCUGCCAAGAUUGGAAGCUUCCUGAGGCCCCCACCAGGAGCAGAUGCUGGCUCAAUGCUUCCUGCAGAACUGUACAGAUUUUAACCAUACAAACCCAGAACUUCAUAAAGAACUUUUAAAAUAUGGAUUUAAUGUGAUUAUCAGUAGAAGCUUGGGCAUCGAAAGAGAAGUGCCAGAUACCAGGAGUAAAAUAUGUACUGUCACCUUAUUACCAUAAUUAUCAGUUGAAGGAGUAAAGAGUCAAAAAGAUGCAAAUAAGGAGAAGUGUUUGAACGAGAUGACACAACAUCCAAGGCAUUUAGAUGGAUGGUUUUCUUCAUAUUGCUUCUGCCUGCAGGUGUCUUCAAAAACAUUACCCAGCCCGCCUCCCGACUGCCAGCAUUGUCAUUUGCUUCUAUAAUGAAGAAUGUAAUGCCUUGUUUCAGACCAUGUCCAGUGUCACGAACCUCACGCCACAC
rnacentral:lncRNA from 1 species